UCCUCUGGGCCUGAGUGCAGAGGGUGAGAGUCCACAUCCCCAGAACCAUGGGGACUGAACAGGAUUACUACAGAGCAGCAAAGAAGUGGGGCACCAAAGGAAAGGGUACACAACACCUUGUGAACACAGAAUUCUGGUGGACCCAGAAUAUGUGGGAGUUCAGUGAGACUUAAAGAGGAAAAGGAGAUAGCUAUGUUGCCUGUUCAGAGAAGGAGCAUCUAUCUGAUUGACAGGAUGCUGUUUCUGCCUACACCAGGCCAGACAUCAAGGGAAAACAAUUAUCACAAAGGCCUACGUGUGAACUAAUGCAAGCAGCUAAUGCCAAGCCUAACAUGCUCCAUAUGUGUUAGAAGUUUUAAGGUUUGACCUUCGAGAGCUGAGGGCAGGCCUCUGUCAGAACAGAGUAUGGAACAUGAAAUUGGUUAUGGAGCCGGACGAGAGGCUGAGAAUGUGGAUCGUCCUCCGAAGACGCUGUCCAGGGAAGACCUGGAGUGAAUCAUGGGCCAAGGGUGGAGGCCA
rnacentral:lncRNA from 1 species